rnacentral:lncRNA from 1 species
AAUACUUCCGUUCUAGGGUGGGAAUUUUUUCCCCUCACGAUUGCUUCCUUAUCCAUGACCCAUUCAGAUGAUUGAGCCAAGGUACUCCAAGGAAUAUUUGGACCUGCUAAUCUGAUGGUACUUAAUCUUUUAAAAGAACUACAAGUAUUCUCGAUCAUCAGAGAGAAAUUGACACCAAGGAGCUGCGUGAGAGUUUCAUAGUGAACCACGGGACCAAGAAGUCUAACGAUCCUAUCACACAGACCCUGUUAUCCAUUGUCUUUUUACUAGCUGCCUCAUGAGUUAUUUGCAGGGUCUGGAAGUGCCUUCUUUAAGGAAGCAACAAGAUUUUAACUAUCGUGUGUUAAAAAUUAAGGAAUUUGUCUAAUGAGACACUGUCAACAGAAUUGGUUCUAUGUUGGCCCUGAACCACACAAAAUCAGGUAAAAUUUGUUUGUAUCUCAGUAUUUUUAGGUAUUUGAUGUCUAAGUG